rnacentral:rRNA from 1 species
UAAGGGCGCACGGUGGAUGCCUUGGCACUAGAAGCCGAUGAAGGACGUUACUAACGACGAUAUGCUUUGGGGAGCUGUAAGUAAGCUUUGAUCCAGAGAUUUCCGAAUGGGGAAACCCAGCAUGAGUUAUGUCAUGUUAUCGAUAUGUGAAUACAUAGCAUAUCAGAAGGCACACCCGGAGAACUGAAACAUCUUAGUACCCGGAGGAAGAGAAAGAAAAUUCGAUUCCCUUAGUAGCGGCGAGCGAAACGGGAAGAGCCCAAACCAACAAGCUUGCUUGUUGGGGUUGUAGGACACUCUAUACGGAGUUACAAAGGACGACAUUAGACGAAUCAUCUGGAAAGAUGAAUCAAAGAAGGUAAUAAUCCUGUAGUCGAAAAUGUUGUCUCUCUUGAGUGGAUCCUGAGUACGACGGAGCACGUGAAAUUCCGUCGGAAUCUGGGAGGACCAUCUCCUAAGGCUAAAUACUCUCUAGUGACCGAUAGUGAACCAGUACCGUGAGGGAAAGGUGAAAAGCACCCCGGAAGGGGAGUGAAAUAGAACCUGAAACCGUGUGCUUACAAGUAGUCAGAGCCCGUUAAUGGGUGAUGGCGUGCCUUUUGUAGAAUGAACCGGCGAGUUACGAUUUGAUGCAAGGUUAAGCAGUAAAUGUGGAGCCGUAGCGAAAGCGAGUCUGAAUAGGGCGUUUAGUAUUUGGUCGUAGACCCGAAACCAGGUGAUCUACCCUUGGUCAGGUUGAAGUUCAGGUAACACUGAAUGGAGGACCGAACCGACUUACGUUGAAAAGUGAGCGGAUGAACUGAGGGUAGCGGAGAAAUUCCAAUCGAACCUGGAGAUAGCUGGUUCUCUCCGAAAUAGCUUUAGGGCUAGCCUCAAGUGAUGAUUAUUGGAGGUAGAGCACUGUUUGGACGAGGGGCCCCUCUCGGGUUACCGAAUUCAGACAAACUCCGAAUGCCAAUUAAUUUAACUUGGGAGUCAGAACAUGGGUGAUAAGGUCCGUGUUCGAAAGGGAAACAGCCCAGACCACCAGCUAAGGUCCCAAAAUAUAUGUUAAGUGGAAAAGGAUGUGGCGUUGCCCAGACAACUAGGAUGUUGGCUUAGAAGCAGCCAUCAUUUAAAGAGUGCGUAAUAGCUCACUAGUCGAGUGACACUGCGCCGAAAAU